UACGUAGGGUGCGAGCGUUGUCCGGAAUUAUUGGGCGUAAAGGGCUCGUAGGCGGUUUGUCACGUCGGGAGUGAAAACUCAGGGCUUAACCCUGAGCCUGCUUCCGAUACGGGUGGACUAGAGGUAGGUAGGGGAGAACGGAAUUCCUGGUGUAGCGGUGAAAUGCGCAGAUAUCAGGAGGAACACCGGUGGCGAAGGCGGUUCUCUGGGCCUUACCUGACGCUGAGGAGCGAAAGCGUGGGGAGCAAACAGG
rnacentral:rRNA from 1 species